rnacentral:rRNA from 1 species
AUUGAACGCUGGCGGCAUGCCUUACACAUGCAAGUCGAACGGCAGCACGGGAGCAAUCCUGGUGGCGAGUGGCGAACGGGUGAGUAAUACAUCGGAACAUACCCAGUCGUGGGGGAUAACGUAGCGAAAGUUACGCUAAUACCGCAUACGUCCUGAGGGAGAAAGCGGGGGAUCUUCGGACCUCGCGUGAUUGGAGUGGCCGAUGUCAGAUUAGCUAGUUGGUAGGGUAAAGGCCUACCAAGGCGACGAUCUGUAGCGGGUCUAAGAGGAUGAUCCGCCACACUGGGACUGAGACACGGCCCAGACUCCUACGGGAGGCAGCAGUGGGGAAUUUUGGACAAUGGGGGCAACCCUGAUCCAGCCAUGCCGCGUGCGGGAAGAAGGCCUUCGGGUUGUAAACCGCUUUCGGACGGAAAGAAAUCGCACGGGCCAAUACCCCGUGUGGAUGACGGUACCGUAAGAAGAAGCACCGGCUAACUACGUGCCAGCCGCCGCAGUAAUAC